rnacentral:rRNA from 1 species
GACGAACGCUGGCGGCGUGCUUAACACAUGCAGGUCGAGCGGUAAGGCCCUUUCGGGGGUACACGAGCGGCGAACGGGUGAGUAACACGUGGGUGACCUGCCCUUAGCUCUGGGAUAAGCCUGGGAAACUGGGUCUAAUACCGGAUAUGACUCCAUAACGCAUGUUGUGGGGUGGAAAGCCUUGUGCGGCUAGGGAUGGGCCCGCGGCCUAUCAGCUUGUUGGUGGGGUGAUGGCCACCAAGGCGACGACGGGUAGCCGGCCUGAGAGGGCGACCGGCCACACUGGGACUGAGACACGGCCCAGACUCCUACGGGAGGCAGCAGUGGGGAAUCUUGCGCAAUGGGCGAAAGCCUGACGCAGCGACGCCGCGUGGGGA